rnacentral:rRNA from 1 species
UGGGGAAUUUUGCACAAUGGAGGAAACUCUGAUGCAGCGACGCCGCGUGAGUGAUGAAGAUCUUCGGAUUGUAAAACUCUGUCCUUAGUGAAGAUAAUGACAGUAACUAAGAAGCAAGCCCUGGCUAAAUACGUGCCAGCAGCCGCGGUAAUACGUAUGGGGCAAGCGUUGUCCGGAAUUAUUGGGCGUAAAGGGUACGUAGGCGGUUUAAUAAGUCCUAAUUAAAAGGCUAUGGCUCAACCAUAGUAUGGUUAGGAAACUGUUGAACUUGAGUAGAUGAGGGGAAAGUGGAAUUCCAUGUGUAGCGGUGAAAUGCGUAGAUAUAUGGAGGAACACCAAUGGCGAAGGCAACUUUCUGGAAUCAAACUGACGCUAAGGUACGAAGGCGUGGGGAGCAAACAGG